AGCUAGUUGGUGAGGUAACGGCCCACCAAGGCGACGAUCGGUAGCCGGACUGAGAGGUUGAACGGCCACAUUGGGACUGAGACACGGCCCAGACUCCUACGGGAGGCAGCAGUGGGGAAUAUUGCACAAUGGGGGAAACCCUGAUGCAGCGACGCCGCGUGGAGGAAGAAGGUCUUCGGAUUGUAAACUCCUGUUGUUGGGGAAGAUAAUGACGGUACCCAACAAGGAAGUGACGGCUAACUACGUGCCAGCAGCCGCGGUAAAACGUAGGUCACAAGCGUUGUCCGGAAUUACUGGGUGUAAAGGGAGCGCAGGCGGGAAGACAAGUUGGAAGUGAAAUCUAUGGGCUCAACCCAUAAACUGCUUUCAAAACUGUUUUUCUUGAGUAGUGCAGAGGUAGGCGGAAUUCCCGGUGUAGCGGUGGAAUGCGUAGAUAUCGGGAGGAACACCAGUGGCGAAGGCGGCCUGCUGGGCACCAACUGACGCUGAGGCCCGAAAGUGUGGGUAGCAAACAGGAUUAGAUACCCUGGUAGUCCACACCGUAAACGAUGAUUACUAGGUGUUGGAGGAUUGACCCCUUCAGUGCCGCAGUUAACACAAUAAGUAAUCCACCUGGGGAGUACGACCGCAAGGUUGUAACUCAAAGGAAUUGACGGGGGCCCGCACAAGCAGUGGAGUAUGUGGUUUAAUUCGACGCAACGCGAAGAACCUUACCAAGUCUUGACAUCCCUUGACGAUGCUGGAAACAGUGUUUCUCUUCGGAGCAAGGAGACAGGUGGUGCAUGGUUGUCGUCAGCUCGUGUCGUGAGAUGUUGGGUUAAGUCCCGCAACGAGCGCAACCCUUAUGGUCAGUUACUACGCAAGAGGACUCUGGCCAGACUGCCGUUGACAAAACGGAGGAAGGUGGGGAUGACGUCAAAUCAUCAUGCCCUUUAUGACUUGGGCUACACACGUACUACAAUGGCGUUAAACAAAGAGAAGCAAGACCGCGAGGUGGAGCAAAACUCAGAAACAACGUCCCAGUUCGGACUGCAGGCUGCAACUCGCCUGCACGAAGUCGGAAUUGCUAGUAAUCGUGGAUCAGCAUGCCACGGUGAAUACGUUCCCGGGCCUUGUACACACCGCCCGUCACACCAUGAGAGCCGGGGGGACCCGAAGUCGGUAGUCUAACCGCAAGGAGGACGCCGCCGAAGGUAAAACUGGUGAUUGGGGUGAAGUCGUAACAAGGUAGCCGUAGGAGAACCUGCGGCUG
rnacentral:rRNA from 1 species